AUAGUCUCCUGUGUUUAGCUUCGGGACAUUCUGCCAGACCCAGUGCUACAAAGGCUUUUGAGCUUUGGCAUCAGUGGUCAGCCUUACCCCUGGAUGGCUGUUUGCUCUUUUAGUUCUAACUAGUAGAAAUGAGGGCCAGCAUAUUUACUAAGGCAGACCCAAGGGAAACUGCUACUUACUUCGAUGCCCAUUGAGUACAUCAAAAAAUCAUAAUGCUGGAUUUGUGACGUCACUCUCAAUUGUUUCCAGAUGGUUUCUCGGGCUGAUCAAAAAGAAGAUGAGGCCAGUGAAUGUGAGUGGGAAAAUAGAUCUUCAAAGAGAAAGAGGGUUCAGGAAUAAAAAGUAUAAUAAUAAUAACAUGAAGAUCACAAAACAACCAUAGAAAACUUCUCUAUAUAACAUGAGGGCAGCAAGGCCAUAGGACAAUGAAGGAGACUGGGAGUGAAUGACGACCCUACCAUCUUAAAAUUCCAACAAACCGAAUGAAGAGUGCUGAGAGAAGGAGAAACUCAUUAGUGAUAUUCACCAAGGAACUUAGCCGAUGGGAAGAAAGCUGUGCCUGUCAAAAUCAUAAGCAAACUACAUUGUGUAACUACCAAGAGGAAAAUAAUCCCUUUUAUAUUAUUUUACAGAGGGUUUUUUUUCAUAGCCUAUUGUGAUGACUAAGGAUGAAUUUCUUAUGGGUAAGUUAGCAACAGUGAUUUGUUGAAUAUCUUUUCAAACGAAUCUAAGAAAAUCUAAAUUUUUAUUCAGCCUGUGUAGUUCACAUAGGAUCCACAAAACAGCCAAACAUUGUCACUUGUUUAAAAGAACAACUAAAAAAAAAAACAAUAAAGAAAAUUCAGAACCACUAA